rnacentral:rRNA from 1 species
GACGAACCGUCCAAACGUUAUUCGGAAUCACUGGGCUUACAGAGUUCGUAGGCGGUCUGGAAAGUUGGGUGUGAAAUCCCUCGGCCUAACCGAGGAACUGCGCUUGAAACUACCAGACUCGAGGGGGAUAGAGGAAAGCGGAACUGAUGGUGGAGCGGUGAAAUGCGUUGAUAUCAUCAGGAACACCGGUGGCGAAAGCGGCUCACUGGGGCUUUUCUGACGCUGAGGGACGAAAGCUAGGGGAGCGAACGGGG